rfam:Culex pipiens quinquefasciatus supercont3.2114 genomic scaffold, whole genome shotgun sequence.
CAAACGGCCCUUUUCAGGGCCACCAAAUAUCCCACGAAAGAGUUGU